rnacentral:rRNA from 1 species
UACGUGCCAGCAGCCGCGGUAAGACGUAGGACGCGAGCGUUAUCCGGAAUUACUGGGCGUAAAGGGCCAGCAGGCGGCUUGGUAAGUUGUGCGUGAAAGCCUCGUGCUCAACGCGAGGAAGCCGGACAAUACUGUCAAGCUAGAGGGCAUCAGAGGGGAGUGGAAUUCCCGGAGUAGCGGUAAAAUGCGCAGAUAUCGGGAGGAACACCGAUGGCGAAGGCAGCUCCCUGGGAUGCACCUGACGCUAAGAGGCGAAAGCUAGGGGAGCGAACAGGAUUAGAGACCCUGGUAGUCCUAGCUGUAAACGCUGGGUGCUAGGUGUGGGACGUAGAAGUUCCGUGCCGGAGCAAACGCGAUAAGCACCCCGCCUGGGAAUUACGGUCGCAAGGCUAAAACUCAAACGAAUUGACGGGGCCCCGCACAAGCAGCGGAGCGUGUGGUUCAAUUCGAUGCUACACGAAGAACCUUACCUGGGUUUGACAUGUACGUGGUACGAAGGCGAAAGCCUAAGGACCCUUCGGGGAGCGUACACAGGUGCUGCAUGGCUGUCGUCAGCUCGUGCCGUGAGGUGUCGGGUUAAGUCCCGUAACGAGCGCAACCCUUGCCCUUAGUUACAAGUGUCUAAGGGGACUGCCGGCGGGAAGCCGGAGGAAGGUGGGGAUGACGUCAAGUCAGCAUGGCCCUUAUGUCCAGGGCUACACACACGCUACAAUGGUCAGUACAAAGGGUAGCGAAGUCGCGAGGCGGAGCGAAUCUCAACAAAGCUGAUCGUAGUUCGGAUUGCAGGCUGCAACCCGCCUGCA